GAUGCAGUGACAUUUCAUCUGAGGCCUGAAAGAUGAGAAGCAGUAGUUCUGAGAAGAGAGAGGGAAGAGCUUUCAGAAUAAAGAAACUAAUAAAUGCAACAAACCUGAAUGGGAAAAACAUGGGACACAUUGGCAGGAAUAGAAAAGGGGCCAGUGUGGCUGGAACCAGAAGCUUAGCAGAGGCUCUCCUUAGGGAAGGGUUCAUGGCAAGCUACCAGCUUUGGCGCAACUCCUUUCAUGCAACCGCUUUUGUGCAAACAUUCGAUUUCUAAGAGGGUGUCUGCUGGAGAAUGUAUGCACAGGAAGCAAUGCCUUCACCUGCUCUUCUAACUAAUGCCACCAGGAGGGGCAUAGUGAGGAAGAGUGGCACAGUACAUGGUUGGCAAGAGAGGAAGCAGGGGGUGGCUAUUGCAAAAGUCUAGACAAGUGAUUGUGGUGGCUUAGACUAGGUUGAUUGCAGCAUUGAUGGACAGAAGUAACCAGAUUUGAGAUGCAAUAAUUGUUGUUUGCAGUACUGGAGGUCCAACCCAGGGCCUUUGCUUUGUAAAUAGUAACAAUGUUUCUAUAUUGCUAUCUAGUUCAGAAUCGAUAUGACCUUAGGUUGUUUUUGUUUGCAGUGCCAGAGAUCAAACCCAGGGAGUCCCACAUGCUAGGCAAAAGUUCUACCGCUAAACCACACACAAGCCUGAGUGCAUUUUAAGUGCAGAGCCAGCUGGACAUCAAAUAUGGAUACUGAAGUUGAAAGCGAACGAAAAAAUUAAGUAUGAUGUCUAAUUUUUGGCUUGCACUUGAGAGGAUGGUGUAACAUUUACUAAGAGACAAUGUGGAAGGAAUAGUCUUCAGAAACAAGAUGAGGAGAAUCUUAGCUGUGUUGGGUUUGAGGCUAAGUACACCCAAUAGGAGGCAUCUAACAGGAAGAAGGAUAUGGGUGUGGAGGAGCAAACAGAGCAGUACUAGAUUUAAAUGUGCAACUGUCAGGUGUUUUCAUAACCACAGUACUAGGUGAGACCAUCAGAGAGAGUGUGGCUUGAGAGAAGGAGCUCAGUAGAAACCUUAGCAUUCUAGUAUUUAAAGAUCUAUAGAAAGAAGAUCAGUGAAAGAGAGACUGAGCAGGUUUGGUCCAACCAGGGAUGGCCAAGGAGGAACAUGAGAAAUGUAUUUUUUUCAUUAAUAAAAUAAAAUUUAAAAAAUAAUAUGUGUUCUUAGUUUUAAAAGUAACAUUGCUCUACAGGGUUCACAGUAAAAGUAACAGUAGCCUUCUCCACCCUUCUCCCUUACUGAUUCCUGAUUCCCAGAGGGAACCACUUGCACUUGGUCAGAAUCUCUAAACAGCUGUUGUAUCUGCAAUUUCUUGCCCUAUCUCUUGGCACCAAUACACUUUCUUUCACUAAAGGUGGUUUCUCUUUAUCUUGUACAUACUCACUCCCACAUGUGCUCACAUGUGCACACUCAUAGACACUUCUUCACUAUCCUCCAAUUCUGGUUAAAGGUGGCCCCUGGUUUACCUUCACAGACUUUAACGAUGGUGUGAAAGCCAUAUGCAUUCAGCAAAAAC
rnacentral:lncRNA from 1 species